rnacentral:lncRNA from 1 species
CAGGAAUGAAGGACUCACCCUCAGCAGCUGGGAGUGCUGCUGGCAGACGGCCCUCAGCUGUGACCCUCUUUGGGGAUGGCAAUGGCUAAGGAGAGCCACUGUGCCCAAAGUUGUGCCCUUUCCUGUGGUGGCCAAUAUCUAAUGACUGACUGAGGACCUCUCACAGCUUUUAGCAAGCCUAUUUUUGCAUUGUGAAUCUCCAAGAGGGGAUGCCGUAUACAGCCCUUCCAAAAAGCAUUUGACCACAGAGCACUCCUUCAUUAGAUCGCCAUGCUAUCCUGCUAGAGGGAAAGGCCAUGUGGAAAGAGGACCUGGAGGAUGAGACACCACGUGGAGAGAGAGCCAUGCAGAAAAGGUCUGAGAUGCUCUAGCCUUGAGGGUGAGGCUGUCUUGAUCCUCCUGCCAAGCCCAGCUGAAUGCAGCCACAUGAAUGAGCCAGAUGGUUCCAUGUGGAACAGAGGCAUGCCAGCCCUGCUGAACCCUGCCUGAAGUCUCGACCCAGAGAAUCAUGCGCAAUAACUGGGUUUUGUUUUAAGCCACUAAGUUUUGGCAUGGUUUGUUAUGCAGCAAUAGAUAACUGAUAUAUUCUCCCAUUCUAUCCCCAGUGUCGAUCUCCCCCUCCCCCAAGAAAAUAUUAUCUUGAAAUUUGUCUUUAUCAUUACUUUGCUUUUUAAAAAUAAUUCUAUCAAGUAUGUAAAUUUUUUGCAGUCUAUUUUAUAAUUUUGAGCUGUUUUUGAGCUUCAUAAAUAUAGAUUCAUGCUACAUGUAUUCUAGGGAGAAUGGAAUUGUGGAAUACUCACCCAAUGAAAUAUUAUUACAGCAGUGAAAAUGAAUGUUGCCACACACAAUACCACAGAUGGACAAAGCUUAGAGGCAUAGUGUUGUAUUGAAAACAGUAAGUUGCAGAAGGCUACAGUAUAGAUCACUCAUCUUUUCAUAUGAUUAUUGGCCAGUUCUUCUUCUUCGAGUCUCUGGUUCUUGUUUUUUUUUUUUUUUUUUUUUUUUGGUCCAUUUUUCUUUUGGGCUGUCUUUUUCUUUUUUAUUUUUUACAGUGGAAGAUUUGCCUUAAGCUAUGUUGCCAAUCUUCCUCCUUUUUCUUCCUUUCCCCCCACAAAGCCCCAGUACAUAGUUGUAAAUUCUUCUAGUUCUUCUAUAUGAGCUGCCACCAUGGCAUGGCUACUGACAGGUGAGUGCUGUGGUUCUGCACCUGGGAACCAAACCCAGGCCGCCAAAGCAGAGUGCACCAAACUUUAACAGCUAGACCAUCAGGGCUGGCUCGUCUUUUUCUUAUUGAUUUCUUGGAAUCCUUUCUAAAUUUUCAGAAAUGUCCUUCAGCAGUAGAAUACUAGGAAUUACUUGAAUCUUGAGAAACAUUUCCAAGAGAAGAGUUUAAAAUUACCAAAUCAAACAAAAAAAAACACCCUGAAAGUAUUGAAAAAAAGAAUGAACAAAAUUAACAACAAAUUAAAUAGGCUCUUUGACUCCUUGCCUGAAAAUCCCAAGGAUCAGAGACCUGACAGAACCUUGGGCUCUGUUGCUAGAUA